ACGAACGCUGGCGGCGUGCCUAAUACAUGCAAGUCGAGCGGACUAAUUAAGAGCUUGCUCUUAUGAGGUUAGCGGCGGACGGGUGAGUAACACGUGGGCAACCUGCCCUGUAGACUGGGAUAACAUCGAGAAAUCGGUGCUAAUACCGGAUAAUUGUUGGAACUGCAUAGUUCUAACUUUAAAAGAUGGCUCCGGCUAUCACUAUAGGAUGGGCCCGCGGCGCAUUAGCUAGUUGGUAAGGUAAUGGCUUACCAAGGCGACGAUGCGUAGCCGACCUGAGAGGGUGAUCGGCCACACUGGGACUGAGACACGGCCCAGACUCCUACGGGAGGCAGCAGUAGGGAAUCUUCCGCAAUGGACGAAAGUCUGACGGAGCAACGCCGCGUGAGUGAUGAAGGUUUUCGGAUCGUAAAGCUCUGUUGUUAGGGAAGAACAAGUGCCGUUCGAAUAGGGCGGCACCUUGACGGUACCUAACCAGAAAGCCACGGCUAACUACGUG
rnacentral:rRNA from 1 species